GUCUGGAGAUCCCCUCUUCUGGUGUUUUCUGUGGGUGAGUCUAGCAUAUGAAUUCAAAGAUAUUUGUUUCUGUUCUGCAGAGGUGACUUCUUGGAACUUAACUGUCAGUUCCAGAUCAUAAAAUGCUUCUGUUGAAGGCAGAGCAUACCUCUGCCAGAAAGGAGGCUAUUGCUUUGAAAGAAGAUCAUCUGGUGCAGAGCUUCUGGGAAUGUUUUAAUUGAAAAUAUCUGGCUACCCAAACACACGCACUGUGCACAGGGGAAAUUUUCAAGCAUUUAUUCAAACUGUGAAUAGACUGGGUGAUGUGCAAGAGAGUGGGAGAGGACACAGCCAGGCAGAUGACCCAAACUGACCAAAGAGAUACUUCAUGUAAUACAAUGACACGUACAGCAACAAAAAAUGGAAAAGAAACAGACUUUCAGAGAAUGGCCGGAGCUGGAAUCUGCUUUGGCAGCUGAUCUUCUCUAUUUUCAUCAGGAAACAAAUGUGCAAACUUUACAGCUUCUCAGCACUGUAAAUUUGCAGUCUUUUUCUCCUUUGCUUGAAAGUUGCAGUCUGCCAAAUUUCCAUGUCUAUGCUAUCACUCCAUUCACUGUCCUGAACAUUUCUGUGCAUUGUGGUUUUGCCCAGGAAGAAGAGUAGUGUUGCUUGCAGGGAUGACUGUAUGAGCUAAUUACCCAAUUGCCAGAGAGAAAUUGUGUGCCUGGAUGUGGACAUCAAGUGGCUCAUGCGGAACUGACCUGGUAGUCUCUCUGUUCUCACAGAUGUGUGUUCACUAUCACUGUUUCUUCAGAUUCAAAGGUACUGGCUUCAGACAGAAUUACUACUAGGAAAUGUGGAGAAAAUCUACUGGUUUAUAUGAAUAGAAGCUUGGACUCUAGAAAGCCUAGAUUUUUGAAAAUAGUUGCAAAUAACUGAAUGAAGAUAUCAAUGGAGACAGACAGGAAUAAGGUCACAGCACUGUUCCUUUAGUUCCCUACCACCAGGAUACUCAAUAGCCAAAAGCAUUUUCUCUGUCCCAGAAAUUUAUGACAGAUAAUGUAAUAAUCCAAGACAAAUUAGACUUUCCCUGCACAGGAAUACUGGCAUUUGAGAAGAAAGUAAAAAUUGUGUCAUCAAUUGAAAUCAACUGCAGUGUCUGGCACUACUUCUCCCUGUGUAACUUAAUCCAUUGGUUGUCUCAUAUAAUAAAUCAGAUAAAAAAUUGGGGCCAUGCCCUUGGAGUAAGGCAGCACAGCUCCACUGACUAGGCCAAUUUAGACCAUCUGAGGUUAGUAUUCUUUGAUGCUGAAAUUGUUCGCUUGAUUAAUGGACCAACUGUAUAGCUCUUAUCUAACUUGGACUGCAACCAGAGUCUCUUCUGUUGUCAAAUGCCAGUAUGAAGACUACAACCAUAAACCUCUGUUAUUUAACAUGUAAUGAGCUGAGAGACAGCACCAUAAUUUUUGCUACCUUGAUAUAUUAUUUAACUAUAUAAUUCAAUGCAAGGCUCUUUUUUCCUGAGUUUUAAAUAAUAUAGGAACAUUAGCUCAAGGAGGAGGAAGUGAAAGGAUCACAUAAUCUGUUAGCAGCAUCUUCAUUUGGACUGCUAAUAGCAAAUACAGGAGCAAAACACUGUUGCUGUUUCAAUACUAAGUGUACCACUCUGCUUGAAAGGGAAAGUCAGGGAAAUGGAAAGUAAUCUUCAAUGGUGUACACUUCUAAAUUACUACAUGUUCUAAUAUAAUGUAUAAAGGGAUUUAUUUACACUCAUAUAACUGCUUGUAAUAACAGAUUCCUAGAUUGCUACUUUUUAUUUGUUUGGUUAUGGCCUUCUGGUGCUGACUAGUGCUAAUAGCUACACAGUAGU